rnacentral:rRNA from 1 species
GGUUGUAAAGCACUUUAAGCGAGGAGGAGGCUACUCUAGUUAAUACCUAGAGAUAGUGGACGUUACUCGCAGAAUAAGCACCGGCUAACUCUGUGCCAGCAGCCGCGGUAAUACAGAGGGUGCGAGCGUUAAUCGGAUUUACUGGGCGUAAAGCGUGCGUAGGCGGCUUUUUAAGUCGGAUGUGAAAUCCCUGAGCUUAACUUAGGAAUUGCAUUCGAUACUGGGAAGCUAGAGUAUGGGAGAGGAUGGUAGAAUUCCAGGUGUAGCGGUGAAAUGCGUAGAGAUCUGGAGGAAUACCGAUGGCGAAGGCAGCCAUCUGGCCUAAUACUGACGCUGAGGUACGAAAGCAUGGGGAGCAAACAGGAUUAGAUACCCUGGUAGUCCAUGCCGUAAACGAUGUCUACUAGCCGUUGGGGCCUUUGAGGCUUUAGUGGCGCAGCUAACGCGAUAAGUAGACCGCCUGGGGAGUACGGUCGCAAGACUAAAACUCAAAUGAAUUGACGGGGGCCCGCACAAGCGGUGGAGCAUGUGGUUUAAUUCGAUGCAACGCGAAGAACCUUACCUGGUCUUGACAUAGUAAGAACUUUCCAGAGAUGGAUUGGUGCCUUC